AGACUCAGUGAAAUUGAACUCGCUGUGAAGAUGCAGUGUACCCGCGGCAAGACGGAAAGACCCCGUGAACCUUUACUAUAGCUUGACACUGAACAUUGAGCCUUGAUGUGUAGGAUAGGUGGGAGGCUUUGAAGUGUGGACGCCAGUCUGCAUGGAGCCGACCUUGAAAUACCACCCUUUAAUGUUUGAUGUUCUAACGUGGACCCGUAAUCCGGGUUGCGGACAGUGUCUGGUGGGUAGUUUGACUGGGGCGGUCUCCUCCUAAAGAGUAACGGAGGAGCACGAAGGUUGGCUAAUCCUGGUCGGACAUCAGGAGGUUAGUGCAAUGGCAUAAGCCAGCUUGACUGCGAGCGUGACGGCGCGAGCAGGUGCGAAAGCAGGUCAUAGUGAUCCGGUGGUUCUGAAUGGAAGGGCCAUCGCUCAACGGAUAAAAGGUACUCCGGGGAUAACAGGCUGAUACCGCCCAAGAGUUCAUAUCGACGGCGGUGUUUGGCACCUCGAUGUCGGCUCAUCACAUCCUGGGGCUGAAGUAGGUCCCAAGGGUAUGGCUGUUCGCCAUUUAAAGUGGUACGCGAGCUGGGUUUAGAACGUCGUGAGACAGUUCGGUCCCUAUCUGCCGUGGGCGCUGGAGAACUGAGGGGGGCUGCUCCUAGUACGAGAGGACCGGAGUGGACGCAUCACUGGUGUUCGGGUUGUCAUGCCAAUGGCACUGCCCGGUAGCUAAAUGCGGAAGAGAUAAGUGCUGAAAGCAUCUAAGCACGAAACUUGCCCCGA
rnacentral:rRNA from 1 species